CCGGGAGAGACCUGUCCCCCUAGGCUCCGGGUUCGGCCCUGCCCGGGCCUGGGAAGCCACUGGGAGCCGGGCUCCCGGAACGUGGCGCCUCGGGUCACCUGACCGCGCGCCCGGUCAAUCAGCACUAGCCCUAAGCGCCCUCCCAGCCGCAGCCGCCCGCUCCGUGCGGUGCGCGGUGCGGGAAUCCCGGAACCAGUCGUGCAUGCUGGAAGGCAGAAGCUGGAGUAGGCACCAUGCGCACGCACCGUGCCUUUUAUUCAAAUUGUCCGAAAAUGGGUGUCACGCCCCCCUAGGCACACUAGGUGUCUGUUAACCGAGUGCUUUUUUUUUUUUUUCUUUUAGUUUUUAUUUUAAAUAAAUCUCGACCUGCUGGCCAACUCAUCCCA
rnacentral:lncRNA from 1 species